GGAUGCGAUGAUACCAGCACUAAAGCACCGGAUCCCAUCAAAACUCCGAAGUUAAGCGUGCUUGGGCGAGAGUAUUCUAGGAUGGGUGACCUCCUGGGAAGUCCUCGUGUUGCAUUCC
rnacentral:rRNA from 2 species